rnacentral:rRNA from 1 species
UCUUGGUCAUUUAGAGGAAGUAAAAGUCGUAACAAGGUCUCCGUUGGUGAACCAGCGGAGGGAUCAUUACCGAGUUUACAACUCCCAAACCCCUGUGAACAUACCAAUUGUUGCCUCGGCGGAUCAGCCCGCUCCCGGUAAAACGGGACGGCCCGCCAGAGGACCCCUAAACUCUGUUUCUAUAUGUAACUUCUGAGUAAAACCAUAAAUAAAUCAAAACUUUCAACAACGGAUCUCUUGGUUCUGGCAUCGAUGAAGAACGCAGCAAAAUGCGAUAAGUAAUGUGAAUUGCAGAAUUCAGUGAAUCAUCGAAUCUUUGAACGCACAUUGCGCCCGCCAGUAUUCUGGCGGGCAUGCCUGUUCGAGCGUCAUUUCAACCCUCAAGCCCCCGGGUUUGGUGUUGGGGAUCGGCGAGCCCUUGCGGCAAGCCGGCCCCGAAAUCUAGUGGCGGUCUCGCUGCAGCUUCCAUUGCGUAGUAGUAAAACCCUCGCAACUGGUACGCGGCGCGGCCAAGCCGUUAAACCCCCAACUUCUGAAUGUUGACCUCGGAUCAGGUAGGAAUACCCGCUGAACUUAAGCAUAUCAAUAAGCGGAGGAA